UGUAUAUGUAUGUAUGUAUAUGUAUAAAUUGAAUUAUUUUAACUUCGGUUGUACUUCCGAUGAAAAGGACUUGACUUGAGGGUUCUGAGCGUUCAGUAUCUAUAAACAAACUGAGUCGGUGUCUGGUCAUACUUACUAAUAAAAUUAAAUAACCAUUUUAAGAUUAGAAAGCACAAAAUGGUCUGGAUAACUAUUAGAUUUAAUUAAACACAGAAACGGCAAAUAUAAACUUACACUUUUAUUUUCAAUAUAAUUAUUUUAAUUCUUGAACAUACGUACCAAUCGAUCUAACAAAGUAAACGAACAAGUAAAGGCGGGUUUUCAUCUCGACCGUAUCGUAGCAUUUUCUUUUGUGUCGAAGUCACUAGUUCUACUCUAGUGGUCAGGAAACGAAGAAAUACGCUACACUUCGCUCGAUACGGUUGAAGUGGAAAACCAGCUUAAAGUGCGCGGAAAACGUGUUGAAACGAAUUUAGUUACAGGGAACGAAGGUCAUUAAUAUUAAUGAAACAAAAAACCCUUCGACUUUACCUUCUAUGUCGUCCAUAUUAAUAUAUUUUCAAAGCCUAAUUCAAAGCGAGGCUAGCGACUCGCAACUCGCAGCUCGCAAAAUAGCCGACCCCAUAUAUAUUGUCGUAAUCUUCCUUUCGAAAAGAUGCUUACGUGGUAAUAUACGAACUCUAGUGUCAUUCUGUGAUCCCAAAUUUCCUUCGUUUAUUGUUAUAAAAUGUUUGAAGCUAGCUUCGUAUAAACGCGGUCGCAAUUUAGCUCAAUAUGUGAUUAUUGUAGGGUCCAUGUCCUUGCGUUUCUUUUUAUAAUCAUUAGGAUUAAGUUACUUUCAUGAAUCCAUGCCAUCCCGACGUUUGUGAGCUUGUGCCCCAAUUUAGUGUAUAUCAUUGGAAAGAGGAUGAAAUACUGCACCAUUGAUAUAGUUGAGUUUCGAAACAAUUAGGGAGGCGAUUUUGUGCAAACGCUUGCUGAAUAUAGAUGUUGGCACAGUGUAAUUCUAUAGUCUAACAUUUAUAUAUAAACAAAAGAAUCUAGCACCUUAUUAUUCCUUGCCUUUUAGGCGUAGCUGAGCUUGUGUCCCAACUUACUGCACAUCAUUGGAAAA